CCCCACGGGGCGCAGCAGUGAGGAAUAUUGGUCAAUGGGCGGGAGCCUGAACCAGCCAAGUCGCGUGAGGGAUGACGGCCCUAUGGGUUGUAAACCUCUUUUGCCGGGGAGCAAAGUGCCGCACGUGUGCGGUUUGGAGAGUACCCGGAGAAAAAGCAUCGGCUAACUCCGUGCCAGCAGCCGCGGUAAUACGGAGGAUGCGAGCGUUAUCCGGAUUUAUUGGGUGUAAAGGGUGCGUAGACGGGAAAUUAAGUUAGUUGUGAAAUCCCUCGGCUCAACUGAGGAACUGCAACUAAAACUGAUUU
rnacentral:rRNA from 1 species